rnacentral:lncRNA from 1 species
AUGUUAGUGAAAUUGAUAAACGAGUUUGGAGGGGGAUCAGCUAUUAAAAGGAGAUGGAGCACCACAUUAUGGACAGCUCCAGGCCCUUGUGCCAGACGUGGAGAGAGGGACGUCCUCGCAGGGAGCUGCUGCCACCACUGCCAGAGACCUGGGGGACGCAGGCAGGGCUUCGCUGAAAGAACGGGGGCUGGCCACUGCUUCUCCCUGAGUUGAAGGAGACGAGGUUUUGCCAUGUUCCCCAGGCUAGUCUUGAACUCCUGGACGCAAGUGAU